GAAGAGGAAAAAUACAGAAAAAAGGCUGCUACUGUUCCAUAAAAAAUCCCUCAAAUUCCUGCAACAUUUACCCCCAAAUAAAUUCCUGAACAGCUGGAGUUAAAAAUGAGUUAAAUCAGUAGCUCUUCAAGUGUUUUGGGCUUCUUUGGAGAACUAAGUGUUAGAACAAUCUGAAACAAAAGACAACAGAAAAUUGAGAAAAACUACUGUUUCAUUGAUCUCGUGACUGGUUUUCUGAAGAUUUUUAAAUUUUGAAACACUUUCUUGUUGAUUUGAGAAUAAGUAUGAGUUGG
rnacentral:lncRNA from 1 species